AGGAGCAGUGGCGGUAGGGAUGGGCAGUGAAAUAGUGAGCCAACAGGUGAAAUGAGAAUAGAAAGAUCUCAGGAAGGUUGCAGGCUGCAGGCAGCUCACACAUAGACCACCGGUUCUGUCGUGGAGAAAAAGUAGGAGAACUGUACUCAGAUUUCGGCUGCUUCCCAGCACUUGAUUGCUCAUAUUUAUGGUCACAGAUCUGAUUUUUUCAGGGAAAAAUGGGAAUCCCAAAGCAAACUGUUAAUAUUCUUCCCUACAGCUCAAUCUCUGCCUCCUGCCCUCCACAAGAGAGCGCUGGGUUUCUCAGGACAGGUCUCAACCAGCACCCAGGGCGACAGGAUAAGACAGGACGUGACCACUAGAGGGAAGCAGGGAGGCCCUUAUGCUUCAUGUUUCUGGGGGAUUCAAAUUUGUGUUGGUUUUAAGGCCAUCAUUUUAAAGACACUUUCAUCCAAGAGAUACACUUGAUCGUGAGUGGAUGGUGCCAAAGAAAACCGUGCUCUGCGAACCAUCAGGACACCUCAUUUCCAGCUCAACAGGCCUGGUCUGAUAUCAGCAGAAAUAUUAUCACCAAUCCUCUGGUUGGAUGAAGGAUGGGAAAACACAGUCUCACAGAGAGAGAGAGAGAGGCCGAGACACAGGCAGAGGGAGAAGCAGGCUCCA